AUUUCGUUGCGACAAAGUCAUGAAUGAAAAUUUACGAAAGCUUUUAUGUGAAAGCGUUUUGCAAUAUUGUAUCGAAUACAAUCAUCACUUGUCUGUAAAAGAUUGUGCAUCAUUAGCGAAGCAGAUUUGCGAAAUAUUCCCAGGAGAAAUACAGGAAUACUAUUUUAUACAACAGAAGAACUGUUCUCCACUGGGAAAACUAUAUCACAAAUAUAGGAACUGGAAGAAAAAUUGGAAAAUAAGUAACAGAACAGAAGAAGAUUGUUCCGAAUCCAGAAACAAAAAACGGAAGAUUACUCAGUUUCCUGUCGGACUUAACGAAUAAGAGCGUAUUAGAGCACUUUCGUAUGAAUAUGAAAAUAUGAAUUAUAAAGAAAAAAUGGAACGUUGGACAGCGUGUGCCGGAUCGAGGAUUAAUACAAUCAGAAAUUACGGACGUGAUUGUAUGGAGCACAUAUUCAAUGAAUGGCCUCAUUAUAAAUUUCCUGAUGGAUAUCGUUUGUUGGAGGCAGACUUCAUAUUCAUUCAUGGGCAGA